ensembl:lncRNA novel transcript
CAAAAAAAAAAAAAAAGGUGUCAUAAACCUCUGAGACUGUAGCCUGCUUCUUAGCUUCUCAUUGAGAUUCCUAGAGGUGCGUUCGAGUUUUCAGAGUAAUUUUCCAGACCAACCAGCGUCAGUGGGAAAUCUGACCUCUUUUGGCAAACUGCGAUCAUUCAUUUUCCUGAGUCCCCUGGUGGGGUGGGGGGAAUUCUGCCUCAGGACCCUGAGGGGUCUUUGGGGCAAGAUGGCCUUGGUAAUGCAGCCACUAAGAACAGGACUUCAUUCAAAGGCAUAAUGAAGUAACCAGGGUGACCAUCAAGUAAAAUUAAAGCACAAGAUCAUUGUAGGAGGCUUCCUUGUCAAAGACGUGAACGUGGGAUUUCCAACGCACCAUGGUGUGUCCACUCAUCACUGCAUGUUAGGAACUGCUGUCUCUUUGGGACACGAGUUAAAAGAACACACUAAUUUCUGGAGUGUGCCUGCAGCUUCACGGCCUUCAUUUUGUUACUAAGUUAUUUUCUGGAAGAACAGCAAAAAUUUCAGGUUGAAAACAGAACUUUCCAAGUGCUACUGAAAUUCCGCAGAGAAUUACGCUGCGAUGGUGGGUUUCUUACCCUAGAAACAUCCUAACCUGUAUCCACAGAAGAUGUCCUUUUAUUUUUUUAAAAGAUCAAUAAAAUCAAGAGAAACGAAUGUUGAACUUGUUGGGCUUCUGGUCAAAGAGGCUUUGUAUGUUUAUACUUUAAUGUUUUCCCACAGAGUGGUGAAAAACUUUUUUUAACCAAGUUAAAAAAUAUGAAAAAAUCUUUUUGAAAAUUUCUAUUCAAGCCAGGUUUUUAGAAAUGUAUCCGGGAUGUGUUUGUGCGUCAUUCAAGGCAUAUUAGCAUCUGGUCACAA